GCCUGGGUAGCUCAGUCAGUUGAGCAACCAACUUCAGCUCAGAUCAUGAUCUCAUGGUUUGUGAGUUCGAGCCCCGCCUCAGGCU
rnacentral:tRNA from 1 species